AUGAACGCUGGCGGCGCGCCUAACACAUGCAAGUCGAACGGCACCCCUCUCCGGAGGGAAGCGAGUGGCGAACGGCUGAGUAACACGUGGAGAACCUGCCCCCUCCCCCGGGAUAGCCGCCCGAAAGGACGGGUAAUACCGGAUACCCCGGGGUGCCGCAUGGCACCCCGGCUAAAGCCCCGACGGGAGGGGAUGGCUCCGCGGCCCAUCAGGUAGACGGCGGGGUGACGGCCCACCGUGCCGACAACGGGUAGCCGGGUUGAGAGACCGACCGGCCAGAUUGGGACUGAGACACGGCCCAGACUCCUACGGGAGGCAGCAGUGGGGAAUCUUGCGCAAUGGGGGGAACCCUGACGCAGCGACGCCGCGUGCGGGACGGAGGCCUUCGGGUCGUAAACCGCUUUCAGCAGGGAAGAGUCAAGACUGUACCUGCAGAAGAAGCCCCGGCUAACUACGUGCCAGCAGCCGCGGUAAUACGUAGGGGGCGAGCGUUAUCCGGAUUCAUUGGGCGUAAAGCGCGCGUAGGCGGCCCGGCAGGCCGGGGGUCGAAGCGGGGGGCUCAACCCCCCGAAGCCCCCGGAACCUCCGCGGCUUGGGUCCGGUAGGGGAGGGUGGAACACCCGGUGUAGCGGUGGAAUGCGCAGAUAUCGGGUGGAACACCGGUGGCGAAGGCGGCCCUCUGGGCCGAGACCGACGCUGAGGCGCGAAAGCUGGGGGAGCGAACAGGAUUAGAUACCCUGGUAGUCCCAGCCGUAAACGAUGGACGCUAGGUGUGGGGGGACGAUCCCCCCGUGCCGCAGCCAACGCAUUAAGCGUCCCGCCUGGGGAGUACGGCCGCAAGGUUGAAACUCAAAGGAAUUGACGGGGGCCCGCACAAGCAGUGGAGUAUGUGGUUUAAUUCGAAGCAACGCGAAGAACCUUACCAGGUCUUGGCAUCCUUUGACCACUCUAGAGAUAGAGCUUCCCCUUCGGGGGCAAAGUGACAGGUGGUGCAUGGUUGUCGUCAGCUCGUGUCGUGAGAUGUUGGGUUAAGUCCCGCAACGAGCGCAACCCUUAUGGUCAGUUACUACGCAAGAGGACUCUGGCCAGACUGCCGUUGACAAAACGGAGGAAGGUGGGGAUGACGUCAAAUCAUCAUGCCCCUUAUGACCUGGGCUACACACGUGCUACAAUGGUUGGUACAACGAGUUGCGAGUCGGUGACGGCAAGCUAAUCUCUUAAAGCCAAUCUCAGUUCGGAUUGUAGGCUGCAACUCGCCUACAUGAAGCCGGAAUCGCUAGUAAUCGCGGAUCAGCAUGCCGCGGUGAAUACGUUCCCGGGCCUUGUACACACCGCCCGUCACACCAUGGGAGUGGGUUGCAAAAGAAGUAGGUAGCUUAACCUUCGGGAGGGCGCUUACCACUUUGUGAUUCAUGACUGGGGUG
rnacentral:rRNA from 1 species